rnacentral:rRNA from 1 species
UACGGAGGGUGCAAGCGUUAAUCGGAAUUACUGGGCGUAAAGGGUGCGUAGGCGGUUCGUUAAGUCUGUCGUGAAAUCCCCGGGCUCAACCUGGGAAUGGCGAUGGAUACUGGCGAGCUAGAGUGUGUCAGGGGAUGGUGGAAUUCCCGGUGUAGCGGUGAAAUGCGUAGAGAUCGGGAGGAACAUCAGUGGCGAAGGCGGCCAUCUGGGACAACACUGACGCUGAAGCACGAAAGCGUGGGGAGCAAGCAGG